GACGAACGCUGGCGGUGUGCUUAACACAUGCAAGUCGAACGGUAAGGCCCUUUCGGGGGUACACGAGUGGCGAACGGGUGAGUAACACGUGAGUAACAUGCCCUCAUCUCUGGGAUAACAGUCGGAAACGGUUGCUAAUACUGGAUAUGAGCUUGCAAGGCAUCUUGUGGGUUGGAAAGAUUUUUUUGGUUGGGGAUGGACUCGCGGCCUAUCAGCUUGUUGGUGAGGUAGUGGCUCACCAAGGCUUCGACGGGUAGCCGGCCUGAGAGGGCGACCGGCCACAUUGGGACUGAGAUACGGCCCAAACUCCUACGGGAGGCAGCAGUGGGGAAUAUUGCACAAUGGACGGAAGUCUGAUGCAGCAACGCCGCGUGCGGGAUGACGGCCUUCGGGUUGUAAACCGCUUUCAAUUGUGACGAAGCUUUUUGUGACGGUAGCAGUAGAAGAAGCACCGGCUAACUACGUG
rnacentral:rRNA from 1 species